UUAUCUAUUUGUCAAAAGACUGUGCUUUAUUACCACAACAUGGUGGAUAUCAUCGAGGAGUAAAUGGGAUUCUCUUGGCAGGCUGGAAGUCACCACUCUGAAGGCACACCCACACCACUACUGUGAAGUCACCCACUCUGAUGUGAAGUCCCCCACUCUGAAGGCACACCCACACCACUACUGAGAAGUCACCCACUCUGAUGUGAAGUCCCCCACUCUGAAGGCACACCCACACCACUACUGAGAAGUCACCCACACCAUUACUGAGAAGCUACGGAUUGAGUUUAUGGGAAAACAUCAGCCGUGUCAUUAAGACACUCAGGCAGCCUCUGGAUAGCCGUUGUAGCAAGGAAUUGAGGUCAGCUAACAAUCUUGAGAAUGAACCUGGAAGUGGACUGUUCUAGCAGCACCCCUGGUUGCAGUCAUGCCCAGACAUCUCCAUGGUCCUCAUCACAUCUGGUGUCAUGUUUUUCCAGCUGGUGCUCUGCUUCUCUGGUGGGAACUUCUUGGUGUUCACCUUCUACCAACCUGUUCCCUGCUCUCAGGAGGUGCAACCUGUGACCGUGACCCUUCCCUACACAGGCAACCUUUCUGAACUUCAGCUGUGGUUAAAUGGAUGAGUUCUCCCUCCCCAGGAUCAAGCAGUGUUUAUUCAAUGUAGAAUAACCCCAGCUCCAUGGGGGAAAAUGUUCCAAAGACUGAAGGGAAUAAUAUAGAUUAAACGCCCACCCACACAUUUACACUCUUACACACACACACACACACACACACACACACACACACACACACACACACAUCCAAGCUGCAAUGUGACAACCACUUCUCCCCCAACCUUAGUGACAGCUGGAGGACCUCAGUUUGCAAAUGGGGCUCCAGGAUGGGUCUUGUUAGCAGCAUCUUUGACCCUCCAUGCCCCCAGCUUACUGGAGGUCAAAGGGAGUCCGGUGGGAUGCCUAGGGGGUAGCUGGUAACUCUUUCCCACUCUGCCACAGAGUUCAUUGGCUCAGAUUUCAUCCAUGGCCUCCUCUAUGGAGUGUGUCCUGCUCACUAGCCACAGGCACACAGCCAACCUGUUUUGGCCUGUAGCAUGUAGGCUUAGUCUUUGGCUGCUCCUUAGUCAAUGAAAUGGCUAUAUUUGUCCUUGAAGUCACUGGCAGGGCUCACCACCACAGGUCCCUACUAGACUGCCUCCUCCUGCUUCAGAGUCAGCUCUCUCCAUUUCUCUUCAACCUUCUUGGCUUAGGGGGUGAUCCUCUCCAUGACUGUAGGAGUCCUGCUCUUCAGCUAGAGGGACAAAUUCCCCUUUGAAGAUUUUGGCAUAGUGGCAAUCUCUUCAUGUGCCCAUUGUUUUGGAUGAACUCAGACAUUUUUUUUUCUAUUUUUCUUUCUUUCUUUUUUUUUUUUUUUACAAAAUCUCUGCUUUUUGUUGCUUGUUUUGUGACAGUCCCAACCUGAUGACACUGUGUUAUUUGACUACUCUAUCCAAGUCAAUUAAUGACACUUCCCCCAGAGAGCUCAGACCUGUGUAAUAAUUUAUACAUAAUUCCCCUGGGAUGGCUAAAGAAACUUAAUAUGGUACCAGGCAUUCCUCAAGGGCUGUUGACCUUUGUCCUGGAAUGCCUGUGAGAUCCUAGUGGCUUGCAGGUAAGAUAGAAUAGGAUAAUGACCUGGACAAUGGUGGCAUACCUCUUCAAUCCCAGGACUUGGGAAGCAGAGGCAAAUAGAUCUCUAUGAGUUCCAGGCCAACCUGGUCUACAGAAUGAGUUCCAGCCAGGACUGUUAUACUGAGAAACCCUGUCUCGGAAAACUGAAAACAACCCCCCCCACACACAAAAAAAGCAAGAUAAUGGUGUUCCUGCUGUGAGGUAUUUAACUGCUUGCUUUCUGCUUUUAUGCUGUGGGACUGGGAUGAAGUGGCCUUUUUAUUAUUAUACAACAAGAAAGAGAAACAACAGAGAGGAGUAAAACAACUUUCUCGACCACCCGUGGAUUCCAUAGAUAAUGGUAAUAUACACCUAUACACCUUUGAUAUCUACACUUAAAACACUUCCUUUAGCUCCCUUUGGCCUGGCAUGCUGUUUGGCUCUAAGGCUGCCACCUUUCUGUUCUUAGUAGGAAUACAUUCAUUUAAUCUAAGUUUGAACUGAGUCUAGGUUUGGUCUUUCUCAGAGGACACCAAUGCCACAGUAGCCUUGCUUUUGCAUUUUCUUCUAGUAUACUGUCCAGUCUUGUGUCUACUCUCCUGGUCACUCAGGCGGGCUGGCUUCUCCAGGAAGCCUAGUAGUUCAAGUUUAAAAAAGCAUAUUCUCAUCAUAAAAACAGCACAUUAGAGAUAAUUACAAUAAAAAUUUCUGUAAUAUGAAUUUCAACUGUCCUCUUUAGUGCAGCAUACAUGGAAACCAGAAUAUUUACUUUUCACUCCACAGAUUCAGAAUUCAAAUUAAAGAAAACAAGGAAUGAGUGUGAUGAUAGGCCAUGGUAAUUGACUGUCUUGGACUAGAGAUUAAAAUUGAUAUUCAAGUGGGGCGGUGGUUGAUGGGGGAAGUCCUUCUGUGUAUGUGUUUGUCUUAUUGGUUGGUAAAUAAAGCACUGUUGGCCAAUAGGGAAGCAAAAUAGGUGGGACUAGAAGUCAAGGAGGAUUCUGGGAAAUGCAGUAAAGAGCAGUCGCCAUGUGAUCCCAGGAAGAGAGGACGCAUAAGGCUGGCAUCUUCGGUAAGAUAAUACCUUAUAGAAAUAUAUAUAUA